GUUAGAACAUUAUGACUUUUUUUGCACCACGAAAUAUCUGCGCGAAGAGGAACGCAAAGAGUUUAUAAAAAACUAAACAUAGAAAUUUCAUUGCACGAAAGCACGACGAGUUUCUUAUUUGCCUUCUGCAUCUUUGUCCGCAGAAAUACGAUCAUCGUGAAUGGUACGUACUUUUUAUCUCUCGCAUCCGGAGAUGCGUUUCCAUGACAUUGCGGAAACUCGUAAAAGAGACACGCGCACGUCGCGAACGCGUCAGGAACUUUUUUUAUCGCUUCCGUGCAACGUGCAACACUGCAGAUUGCGAUUGCGUUGCAGAAACGUAAAUGUCGAUUACGAAGACGUAUUUUUAUUUUGCUCGCGUCAUUCUUUACGAUAAUAUUUUAUUUUUCGACCGAUAUCGCAUGCAAUGAUAAUACUAUUUGCGUCAUAAAUACAUUAUCUUUCAUUUUAAUUCACGUUUCUGGCAACAAAACGAUGUACUUACAACCGUUUCAUUUCUCUACAAGCGAACGCGCAGUCGGCAGGGAAACAACGAUGAGAUAACGAUUCGGGUGAGGAUGAGGAGGGAACGAGAGUAGAGAAGUCAAGGAGCAGAUCCGCCAGGCACACAAAGAGACGAGAACAGACACGGAGAAAGCGUGGAUAAGGGAGGACAGGGGAAGUUGUCGGAUCAAAUGAAAGGAAAAUAUUGUAUUUUUUAUGAGGGGGUCGUUCGGGAGACAGGUUCGGGGAAAACUUGUGCGAGAGAACGAAACCGCUGGACCGGCAGGGAAGCGAGGAGAAGAUGGAAAAUAAGGUCGUUGCUGAAAAGAAGAUCAAAGUUGGAAUGUGUCGACGAUUUGCAAAAAGAUAGGGUGCUCUCCGAGUGCUUUAUUACACGGCGACAGGCUUUCAACAACGCUCAAGAAGCCCGCGGUUGCAAUCAGGGCUUUAAUGUAAAUGUAAAUCCGCAGGCAGUACAUCCGGUCAUCCGGAUUUUGUAAUCUCGUCCGGAGGACUUGUGUGGAGUGUAUAUAGUGCUUUUGAUAAUAUUUUUUUCCCCGUGAAACGAUCGUGUGUCUUACGCGGCCUGAGUUGAAGGCAAUUAAGCUCGCUCGUCGCAGAAAAUAAGCAUCGAAGAAAAAUAAAAUCGUGCAAGCCCGAAAUUGCUGAAUAUCAAUCCAAGGCAGGAUUUAUGCACAUAAUAAAAUCUUCUCUGAGUCUUUCGCACGUAUGUGCGCAGAAAUUCUCGAGAAAUCUCAAUGAAAUAUUAAAAGCGAACAAAUGUAUCUGUGAUUCAUAAAGAAUGAUAUAUGAUUUCGGCUCCACCAUGUACUUCAUAAGACAUAAAAAGAAGUUUCUUACAAUGAAAUCAAUUAAUGUGUUAAAACGAAAAUGUUAAUGAAUAUAAUAUCUGUUGAAUAAAGUGGAUUUAACAAGUGUGCGCAACGAU